rnacentral:rRNA from 1 species
UAAGUGAAUAAGCGUAUACGGUGGAUGCCUUGGCAAUUGGAGGCGAUGAAAGACGUGUUAAUCUGCGAUAAGUCUGGUUAAGGUGAUAAAAACCGUUAUAGACCAGAAUUUCUGAAUGGGGAAACCCACUGCAUUUUGUGCAGUAUCGCAUAGUGAAUACAUAGCUAUGCGAAGCAAACCCGGAGAACUGAAACAUCUAAGUACCCGGAGGAAAAGAAAUCAACCGAGAUUUCCUGAGUAGCGGCGAGCGAAAGGGAAACAGCCGAUUCAGUAUGAUGUAGUGGAAGGUUCUGGAAAGUUCCGCAAUAAAGGGUGAUAGCCCCGUACACGAAGCAGCAUAUUGGACACAUUAAGUAGGUCGGAGCACGAGAAACUUUGACUGAAGAUAGGGGGACCAUCCUCUAAGGCUAAAUACUCCCAAUUGACCGAUAGUGAACCAGUACCGUGAGGGAAAGGCGAAAAGAACCCCUGUGAGGGGAGUGAAAUAGAACCUGAAACCGUAUACGUACAAGC